ACCAGACUCCUACGGGAGGCAGCAGUGGGGAAUAUUGCACAAUGGGGGGAACCCUGAUGCAGCGACGCCGCGUGGGUGAAGAAGCGCCUCGGCGCGUAAAGCCCUGUCAGCAGGGAAGAAAAUGACGGUACCUGAAGAAGAAGCCCCGGCUAACUACGUGCCAGCAGCCGCGGUAAUACGUAGGGGGCAAGCGUUAUCCGGAUUUACUGGGUGUAAAGGGGGCGCAGACGGCGAUGCAAGCCAGGAGUGAAAGCCCGGGGCCCAACCCCGGGACUGCUCUUGGAACUGCGUGGCUGGAGUGCAGGAGGGGCAGGCGGAAUUCCUGGUGUAGCGGUGAAAUGCGUAGAUAUCAGGAGGAACACCGGUGGCGAAGGCGGCCUGCUGGACUGCAACUGACGUUGAGGCCCGAAAGCGUGGGGAGCAAACAGGAUUAGAUACCCCCGUA
rnacentral:rRNA from 1 species